rnacentral:rRNA from 1 species
UAACAGGUUAAGCUGACGAGUGGCGAACGGGUGAGUAAUGUAUCGGAACGUGCCCAGUCGUGGGGGAUAACUGCUCGAAAGAGCAGCUAAUACCGCAUACGACCUGAGGGUGAAAGCGGGGGAUCGCAAGACCUCGCGCGAUUGGAGCGGCCGAUAUCAGAUUAGGUAGUUGGUGAGGUAAAGGCUCACCAAGCCGACGAUCUGUAGCUGGUCUGAGAGGACGACCAGCCACACUGGGACUGAGACACGGCCCAGACUCCUACGGGAGGCAGCAGUGGGGAAUUUUGGACAAUGGGCGCAAGCCUGAUCCGGCCAUGCCGCGUGCGGGAAGAAGGCCUUCGGGUUGUAAACCGCUUUUGUCAGGGAAGAAAAGGUUCUGGCUAAUACCUGGGACUCAUGACGGUACCUGAAGAAUAAGCACCGGCUAACUACGUGCCAGCAGCCGCGGUAAUACGUAGGGUGCAAGCGUUAAUCGGAAUUACUGGGCGUAAAGCGUGCGCAGGCGGUUAUGCAAGACAGAGGUGAAAUCCCCGGGCUCAACCUGGGAACUGCCUUUGUGACUGCAUGGCUAGAGUACGGUAGAGGGGGAUGGAAUUCCGCGUGUAGCAGUGAAAUGCGUAGAUAUGCGGAGGAACACCGAUGGCGAA